rnacentral:lncRNA from 1 species
UCUCUUUUCUUGUUUGGCUUGGGCCAAACUGCUUCAGCCCAAGGAAAAAUAAAGCAGACCACUCCCUGGAAAACCCAAAAUAGCCCAUCAUAUUCCACUACUCUCAGAUCAACUGAGGAGUUGGCCUUGAUCCUUCAAGCCCAAUACCUUAAACCCAAAGAGAAUAAUCGCCCGGUUUCCAAACCCAAAAACACACUCAAUUUACACUUUAAUGGAUCAAACCUAAUAAAACAAAACAAACAUAAUUGGAGCAAAAAUAGAAAAGCAAAGAUCCAGACACUUUUGGCGGAUAUGAAGUUUUCGGUGGGUCGAUCAACCGAAAACUAGAAAAAUUCCGGCCAAACUGGCAGAAACCUCAUUGGAAGCCCCUUUUUCUCACUUUUAAGGCCGGAUUUUUUCAUAUAUACGAAGCAUAUGGCAUCAUGUACUCACUCAAAUCUCAAACAAGGUCCAAAAAAUGAAAUAAUCAUGCCAAAAUGAGGAUGCAAGCUUCUUGAACAUAAACUUUCAUACACACUCAAAUCUCUUGUAUAAUCAUCGAAUCAAGCAAGGAAAAGCCAUGGAGAUACAUGAGGAUGCUUUUCAGACGAGAUUGCAAUCUGAAAAUGAGAGGGAAGAGGAUUUGUUGAAGUUUCAAGAAAAAUUGCAGCAACAUCGCUGAUGGCGAACCCCCAACUUGACGACUCGAUUCAAAGGCUUCCUGACAUUUUUUGGGAAAAAUUUCAAAUAAAUCUUUCCUACUAACGUCCUAGAUCACGCAGAAACAAAAAUCUCAUCCAACGAAGUUGGAUCAAAGGAGGAAAUCGAGAUCGAAGAUGGCUAGAUGACCAACCCGCUUUCUGGAAAAAUUUUUCUGAAACAUUUUUUUCUCUCUGUCGUUUUCUCUUACUCUCCCCCCCC